AAAGACGCAUCAUAGCAACCAAAGAUUAACCACUGAGCAUCCACAUCCAUCUGAGCUCAGAGACAGCACUGAGAAAGGCCUGACCCAGGAGUAAAUGACUUGAAAGCAUGUGCCAAAUUAGAGGCUUCCUGGUGACCUCUGGGUGAAAGCAUUUGACAGCAAAGAACUCAGGGACCUUCCUCAAGAGGUUUGGACGACAUUGUGAGAGGACCACACUCCCCCUACACAAGGCAAGCUUUACGACUUUGCUGGCAACACUUCCAAAAGAGGAGGAGGAGGAUCACAGCCCUGCAUGGUUUCUGAUGUUCCAAUGACGUGGGAUUCCUGCUCUUCACACAGGAGAGAGCCAUGGUCUUAUAUUCCAGUACAAGAAGUAAUAAAGAUUCAAGAUACCCACUGGAGGAGGGCUGUCUGCUCAGGAGAGGAGACUGGAGUAGUACUGCUGAACAUGACUUGGAAGACUUGAUUCUUGGAAGAGUUGGUAAUUUGCAGAGAAUAACAAAAACAUCUUGCAUACAUUAUAAGUACAGUUUUUAAAAUUAAAAAAAAAUUAUUGGUCCUUUGUGAAUUUCACACCAUGCAUUCCAAACCCACCCAUUUUACCCUUCAGUCCGGCAGCCUCCCCCUACCCAAAAGUGAA
rnacentral:lncRNA from 1 species